GGCUAGCGCGUGAUAUGCGCAUCCCCGUUAUCUUUCCUUGAUUCUCAGCAUGGUUUAGAAGGCUAAUAAGUGCUUUCGUGCAUAAGAUGAAUAUGAAAGGAGACAAAGGAUCUCCCUGUCGCAGACCCCGUUUGGGGGUUAUAUUUCCUCUUGGGUGGCCAUUGAAUAAGACAUGUGAUGUGAUUCUGGAUAACACAAAGGAAUGGAAUCAUGAACCUGGAGAGCUUGUAGCUGACGAUGCAACAAGAAGAAUUCAUUGUUCGAGAUGGAAGCACUAUCAUCUUUAUACCUCAACCACCAUCCAAGACAUUCUAAGUUCAAACUGAUCAACAACUAAGCAAGUAGAUUGAGUGUGCUCUUUUCCUAACCUUUGGUUUUGUUCCAUUGGGUUUUCCAAAGGAAGGUUUUUAACAAGGCCACAAGUUACUUCAAAUCACUUGGUUGUUGAUCUUGGUCCAAGAAUAUCAUUAUCUAUCUUAUGUUAUUUUUAUUUCUAAGUUUAUGUUAUGUUUUUCUUCAUUUUCGAAAACUCUAGUCUUUGGUCUUUGUUGUAUUUUUGAGAGGACCCUGUCUUUACUCCUCUUGCAUUUUCGAAAGCUUGUCCAUGUACAAGUCUCUCCCUUUAUAAACCUGGUCGAAAUCUAAUAAGAGGACUCCAAUUUUUUUAUCAAAACCUUUGUUUUCUCUUUUCUUCUUGCUUGUCGAGUUGAUUGAGUAUUGGUGUGUAAUAUCCAACUUCUGGUGUGUAAUAUCCAGAGACUAAGGGCUCUAGUUUGGUGUGUCAUAUCCGAUAUAUUGCCUAGGAGUAUCAAGAAGCCUUUCCGCAGCCUCUUUUGUCACCAUUCGAUCCACAUGCCUUGAGAAACUUGAGUCUUUUGAUUCGUUUCUGCAAGGAUUAUCCUAUCUGUUCUAGAGCAUAAUCCUAGGAUCUCAGUAAGUGGUAUCAGAGUAACUCUGGAAGGGAAGUGUUUGAUUUCUAUCUGUUUUGGAUUUGAUCUCUUCAUAUUCUGUUGUGAUUUUGAUCAAUCUGUGUUUCUUGUGUAGAAAUCUAUCGAAAUAGGUUUCAUUGAUCUUGAUUCUAAAACUAGACUGUUCGGAGUCUUUGUGAGAAAGUUACUGAUUUGUUUUAAUCUGAACCUGUUUGGUGUUUGUAGAAGACGAUCUGUGUGUUUGACGUUGAGACCUGAUAGUACUAAAUACUUUGAUCACGUUUUGGGUUUCAGACUGUUCACAUCCUUGAUCAGAAAGCCAUUGAUUUGUUUGCUUGAUCUGUUUCUGAUUUUGUUAAAUUGAAUCGAUUUGUUUCUGUUGUUGUGAAUCUGUUCUAUUCAGAUUUUUUUUUAAGAAAUCCAAGAUUGAAACUGAACCUGAUUUCGUGAUCUCUCUCUGUUCUGUUUUGAAAUCAAACUGAUCUGUUUCUGCUUUGUUAAGAUUGAUAGAUUAGUGUUUUUUUGUUUCUGAUUAUCAGCCUGUUCCUGAUUAUCAAUCUGUUUUGUUUCUGGUUUAAGUUUGAUUUUCGUUUUGAAUCUGUUUUAUUUGUUGUUCACUUGUUUCUGGAUUCGAAAAUCAAUUAUCAAACUAUCUUGUUCAAUUGUUUGUGUUCUGUUUUGUUGUCUACUUGUUGCUGAAUUCGAAAAUCAACCAAACUGUUGUUUAUUGCAAUUCUGAGUAUUAUGUUUAUGUUUGCAAGUUGAUUAAUUGUUUUUCUCUAAGAAACUUUUACUGGUUGUGUUCUUCUUGUGUCUCAGGAGCCAUGGAAAGAGAUCAAGAAGGAAGAAUCAACACUGCUAGGACUGCUUCUUUGCAGAAGAUAAUGAAAUUCAGAAUGGAAAGUCAGCAGAAACAUGAUGAACUUAUGCAGAAAAGGAUGAGGCAGAGAUCAUCAAUGAAAAAAUCAAAAUCUUGAGCCUAAACCACCGGAUUAUUUUCAAUACAGAUCAAGCAAGCAUAAGAGGAUUAAAAAAGAAGAGGCAGAUCGUGGAGAGCAACAUAUCAAGCCAUUAGCCAACACAUGGAGCAGACCACAUCAAUCUUCUCUCAUUCCUAAAUCAAAUUUUCUUUAUUCUGAUUAUACACCAGUUACUGAUGUUCAACUCUAUGCUUUUUCAGGAAAAGCGACUAUCUAGAGUAGGAAAGAACCAUGGACAAGUGGCUCUGUUACAACAGAAUCCUAAAGAAGGAAAGAUUAGAUUUUGCAAUUUCUCGACUCACAAGAAGAGCUUAUAAGUGGUGGUUGCAAGAAGAAGAUGAUCGCAAAUUCUACAAGGAACCAGCUAUCACCACUUUGGAAAAUCUGAAGUUGCUACUAAGGAGUAAGUAUGCAUCCAAAGGCCACACUUUUCUGAAAUCUCCAAUGAAGGAAGCCACAUCUAGUGAGACAGUAACCUGUUACAGAAAAGAGAAAACAGUCUCUAAACCAUCUAUGGAUGAUCAACGAUUCUGUUUCAGUAAAGAAGAAAGGGAGGAGUUGUUACAAGUAAUUAAAAAUGUGAAGAAACAACUCAAGAAGACCAGUGCAACAAAUCCUUCCUUAGAAACACAGAACCAAGAGCCAUUCAAUGCUGUCUCAGAACUCAAAGUUGCAGAGCCGGAAUCAGCAGCACAGAUUCAAGAGGAUCAAACCGAGAUUCCAACAAUCACCAUUCAGAAAGAUUAUCAACCAAUCAUGGACGACUUGGUUCUUUUCAGACAGGACAUGGUAGAAGAAGAGAUGCCCAGUGAACCACAUACAGAUCAUGGAAUGAAUCAGCUGUGUCUUUGAUCCAAAUGAUUUCCAAAAGACAUUCUUGGAUACAUUUCUGAUCAAUCCUUUUGUUUGGAACAAGACCAGAGCAGUGGAGCUUUCAAGACACGAAUUUGUCUUGAAGCAUGUUGUAUUUGAUCCUGGAGGAGAUCUGUGUCAUCUUAGGAACAAGAUCAAACUGAUUGAGAAGAAAUCAGCUGCAACAACAAAUGAUUUUGUUGAUUUCUCAUCUUCUGAAGAUAAGGUGCUGCACGUCUCAACUCAGCAAGAGUUUCACUACGAAACCAAUUGGAGAUUGUUACCACUCAGUCCUUGAUCCAACAAACCACGCAGUGAAUGGCGACCUGAUCCUCAAAAUAUUUCCGAUUUCGCAAAACAUAUCAGUUUGGAUCAAUUCCGAGAGAUGCUUAUAUCUGAUUGGGCUGGAGUGGAAACCUGGAGCAAAUGUCAGCAUACUUAUAUUCCUUGGAGAAGACUCUGCCCGUGCUAAAUUCAUUUCAGGUCAUAAGGAGUUGGAAGAUGAUCAAAACACCUUGAUUCUCAACCAUGUCAAGAUAUGGAAGCCACCAGUUUUGCAACAACUUCAGUACCAUUGCAGAGAUUAUCAAACAAGGAGUGGCGAUGGAGAAUUCACUAGAGAAAAUGGUGAAAUGAUUACUGGAGGAAGAGAAGAACUCAUGUUUUCUUCUCAAGUCAAGGAGAAACCACCAGAUAAAGUCAAACUGUUUUGAGGUCUACACUUUUUGAAAAGAGGGGCUAUAAUGAUCAGAGUAUCAAUGAUGAGUCCUUGGCUAAGUUGGAGAUGCAACAAUCAAAUCCUGGAAACUGUCUAGCCACCAGCGUUGACAUAGGAGCAGUGCGAGGAUCAUAUCUCAACAACCAAAGGGAAUUAACCAACAAACUCGACUGCAAUGGAAACUUCACUCAUCAGGGUCUCACUUCGAAUUGGAAUCAUGUACAAAGCUUCUCAGGUGAAAGAGUUAUGGAUUCUACAAGUCGGGUGAUCAUGUGUUUUCUUCGCUUGAAUCUUUCUGAGUUUAAAACAUCUCAAUCCUAUCAAUGGCGACCAGGUGAAUAUGCUAAAGUAAGUGAUCAUGUUUUCAAGAGUUCUUUUAUUAUUGAUUACACAGAUAUGAUGCACUUGUUUUUUGUCAAAAGAGCCUUAUGCAGAUUAUGAUGAAGCUUUGAAGCAUUCAAGAAGAAACUACAAGCGUGAGGCAGACAAGAGAUUCAAACCACCUGACUUGGACCAGGAUAAGCACCAAGACGCCCUGUCUUUAGUAUCAUGAAAGAAGCACCUCCAGAUGCAACAUACAAGCCAAAAACGAGCAAAAACAAAUUUGGCAUAAGACUCUUACUCUAUGAUGAUUUCGGUUAUGCUAACUUGUUUUCUUUCAAAGUAUGUGAAUCAGGUUUGAGGAAUGCAUCAUGAGUAAAGAGAGCCAAAUGGAUCAGUCCUUUCUGCAUAACAGAACCAGUCAGAGAUAAUGCCUAUCAAAGAGGCUUGCAAGGUAAGUGUAAUCUGAUUUUAAACUAUAAUGUUACUGACUUGGUCCCCUCUAUUGCAGAUAAAACAGAUUUGAGGACAAAUCCUUUUCAAGAGGGAGGGAAUGAUGUGAUUCUGGAUAGCACAAAGGAAUGGAAUCAUGAACCUGAUCAUGGAGAGCUUGUAGCUGAGGAUGCAACAAGAAGAAUUCAUUGUUCGAUAUGGAAGCACUAUCAUCUUUAUACCUCAACCACCAUCCAAGACAUUCCAAGAUCAAGCUGAUCAACAACUAAGCAAAAGUAGCUUGUGUGUGCUCUUUUUCCAACCUUUGGUUUUGACCCACUGGGUUUUCCAAAUGAAGGGUUUUAACAAGACCACAAGUUACUUCACAUCACUUGGUUGUUGAUCUUGGUCCAAGAAUAUCAUUAUCUAUCUUAUGUUAUUUUUAUUUCUAAGUUUGUGCAAUGUUUUUCUUCAUUUUCGAAAAUUUUAGUCUUUGGUCUUUGUUGUAUUUUUGAGAGGAGCAUGUCUUUACUCCUCUUGCAUUUUUGAGAGCUUGUGCAUGUACAAGUCUCUCCCUUUAUAAACCUGGUCGAAAUCAAAUAAGAGGAAUCCAAUCUUUUUAUCAAAA